UCCGGCAUAGCUCAGUUGGUAGUAGCGCAUGACUGUUAAUCAUGAUGUCGUAGGUUCGAGUCCUAUUGCCGGAG
rnacentral:tRNA from 3 species